ensembl:snRNA U6 U6 spliceosomal RNA
GUGCUUGCUUUGGCAGUAUAUACACCAAAAUUGAAACCAUACAGAGAUUAGCAUAGUUCCUGGCGAAGGGUGACACAAACGUUUGUCAAGCAUUCCAUAUUUAU